rnacentral:rRNA from 1 species
UACGUAGGGUGCGAGCGUUGUCCGGAAUUACUGGGCGUAAAGCGUGCGCAGGCGGUUGUGUAAGACAGAUGUGAAAUCCCCGGGCUCAACCUGGGAACUGCAUUUGUGACUGCACGGCUCGAGUGCGGCAGAGGGGGAUGGAAUUCCGCGUGUAGCAGUGAAAUGCGUAGAUAUGCGGAGGAACACCGAUGGCGAAGGCAAUCCCCUGGGCCUGCACUGACGCUCAUGCACGAAAGCGUGGGGAGCAAACAGG